CAAGUGGCUUUUUUCAAAGCCAUAUAUAAUACCUAAUUGAAUGUA
rfam:Meleagris gallopavo isolate NT-WF06-2002-E0010 breed Aviagen turkey brand Nicholas breeding stock chromosome 8, whole genome shotgun sequence.